GAAAAGAACAUAAUUAGCCCAGUUGGGCUUGAACUUACAUUCAUCCUGUCUCAGCCUUUGUAGCUUUGGGAUUAUAGGUCAUUGUUUCUCAGACUAGAUGCUGAGUCCAGUGAGACUCUGAAGAUAUCAUGAGUGUUCUUGGAGAUCAGAGCAGACGAGAUCCAACAGAGGUGGGCUCCAGAAGAUCAGCUCUGACACAAGAAAACUUCAGCCUUACCGGUGUGAAAGGGAGAUGCCAGAGUUAAGAGCCCCAGAGGUACCAGUAAGGUACAGGGGGACUUUGGAAGCAAGAAAUCCACCUUUACCUGACAGGGUCUUACUACGUAGUUCAGGCUGGCUUCUAACACUCUGUGAUCCUCUUGCCUCAGCCUCCCUAUUGCUGGGAUUGCAGGCUUCCUGAAGAAUGUACAUAUACUCCCCACAUGAGAGAACCAGCCCUUAAACACCUGUGACAAGAGAGCAUCAACAGUCAAGGAGGACCAGCAAC
rnacentral:lncRNA from 1 species